GGUUAAGCGACUAAGCGUACACGGUGGAUGCCCUGGCAGUCAGAGGCGAUGAAGGACGUGCUAAUCUGCGAUAAGCGUCGGUAAGGUGAUAUGAACCGUUAUAACCGGCGAUUUCCGAAUGGGGAAACCCAGUGUGAUUCGUCACACUAUCAUUAACUGAAUCCAUAGGUUAAUGAGGCGAACCGGGGGAACUGAAACAUCUAAGUACCCCGAGGAAAAGAAAUCAACCGAGAUUCCCCCAGUAGCGGCGAGCGAACGGGGAGCAGCCCAGAGCCUGAAUCAGUGUGUGUGUUAGUGGAAGCGUCUGGAAAGGCGCGCGAUACAGGGUGACAGCCCCGUACACAAAAAUGCACAUGCUGUGAGCUCGAUGAGUAGGGCGGGACACGUGGUAUCCUGUCUGAAUAUGGGGGGACCAUCCUCCAAGGCUAAAUACUCCUGACUGACCGAUAGUGAACCAGUACCGUGAGGGAAAGGCGAAAAGAACCCCGGCGAGGGGAGUGAAAAAGAACCUGAAACCGUGUACGUACAAGCAGUGGGAGCCUCUUUUAUGGGGUGACUGCGUACCUUUUGUAUAAUGGGUCAGCGACUUAUAUUCUGUAGCAAGGUUAACCGAAUAGGGGAGCCGAAGGGAAACCGAGUCUUAACUGGGCGUUAAGUUGCAGGGUAUAGACCCGAAACCCGGUGAUCUAGCCAUGGGCAGGUUGAAGGUUGGGUAACACUAACUGGAGGACCGAACCGACUAAUGUUGAAAAAUUAGCGGAUGACUUGUGGCUGGGGGUGAAAGGCCAAUCAAACCGGGAGAUAGCUGGUUCUCCCCGAAAGCUAUUUAGGUAGCGCCUCGUGAAUUCAUCUCCGGGGGUAGAGCACUGUUUCGGCAAGGGGGUCAUCCCGACUUACCAACCCGAUGCAAACUGCGAAUACCGGAGAAUGUUAUCACGGGAGACACACGGCGGGUGCUAACGUCCGUCGUGAAGAGGGAAACAACCCAGACCGCCAGCUAAGGUCCCAAAGUCAUGGUUAAGUGGGAAACGAUGUGGGAAGGCCCAGACAGCCAGGAUGUUGGCUUAGAAGCAGCCAUCAUUUAAAGAAAGCGUAAUAGCUCACUGGUCGAGUCGGCCUGCGCGGAAGAUGUAACGGGGCUAAACCAUGCACCGAAGCUGCGGCAGCGACGCUGAUGCGUUGUUGGGUAGGGGAGCGUUCUGUAAGCCUGUGAAGGUGUGCUGUGAGGCAUGCUGGAGGUAUCAGAAGUGCGAAUGCUGACAUAAGUAACGAUAAAGCGGGUGAAAAGCCCGCUCGCCGGAAGACCAAGGGUUCCUGUCCAACGUUAAUCGGGGCAGGGUGAGUCGACCCCUAAGGCGAGGCCGAAAGGCGUAGUCGAUGGGAAACAGGUUAAUAUUCCUGUACUUGGUGUUACUGCGAAGGGGGGACGGAGAAGGCUAUGUUGGCCGGGCGACGGUUGUCCCGGUUUAAGCGUGUAGGCUGGUUUUCCAGGCAAAUCCGGAAAAUCAAGGCUGAGGCGUGAUGACGAGGCACUACGGUGCUGAAGCAACAAAUGCCCUGCUUCCAGGAAAAGCCUCUAAGCAUCAGGUAACAUCAAAUCGUACCCCAAACCGACACAGGUGGUCAGGUAGAGAAUACCAAGGCGCUUGAGAGAACUCGGGUGAAGGAACUAGGCAAAAUGGUGCCGUAACUUCGGGAGAAGGCACGCUGAUAUGUAGGUGAAGUCCCUUGCGGAUGGAGCUGAAAUCAGUCGAAGAUACCAGCUGGCUGCAACUGUUUAUUAAAAACACAGCACUGUGCAAACACGAAAGUGGACGUAUACGGUGUGACGCCUGCCCGGUGCCGGAAGGUUAAUUGAUGGGGUCAGCGCAAGCGAAGCUCUUGAUCGAAGCCCCGGUAAACGGCGGCCGUAACUAUAACGGUCCUAAGGUAGCGAAAUUCCUUGUCGGGUAAGUUCCGACCUGCACGAAUGGCGUAAUGAUGGCCAGGCUGUCUCCACCCGAGACUCAGUGAAAUUGAACUCGCUGUGAAGAUGCAGUGUACCCGCGGCAAGACGGAAAGACCCCGUGAACCUUUACUAUAGCUUGACACUGAACAUUGAGCCUUGAUGUGUAGGAUAGGUGGGAGGCUUUGAAGUGUGGACGCCAGUCUGCAUGGAGCCGACCUUGAAAUACCACCCUUUAAUGUUUGAUGUUCUAACGUGGACCCGUAAUCCGGGUUGCGGACAGUGUCUGGUGGGUAGUUUGACUGGGGCGGUCUCCUCCUAAAGAGUAACGGAGGAGCACGAAGGUUGGCUAAUCCUGGUCGGACAUCAGGAGGUUAGUGCAAUGGCAUAAGCCAGCUUGACUGCGAGCGUGACGGCGCGAGCAGGUGCGAAAGCAGGUCAUAGUGAUCCGGUGGUUCUGAAUGGAAGGGCCAUCGCUCAACGGAUAAAAGGUACUCCGGGGAUAACAGGCUGAUACCGCCCAAGAGUUCAUAUCGACGGCGGUGUUUGGCACCUCGAUGUCGGCUCAUCACAUCCUGGGGCUGAAGUAGGUCCCAAGGGUAUGGCUGUUCGCCAUUUAAAGUGGUACGCGAGCUGGGUUUAGAACGUCGUGAGACAGUUCGGUCCCUAUCUGCCGUGGGCGCUGGAGAACUGAGGGGGGCUGCUCCUAGUACGAGAGGACCGGAGUGGACGCAUCACUGGUGUUCGGGUUGUCAUGCCAAUGGCACUGCCCGGUAGCUAAAUGCGGAAGAGAUAAGUGCUGAAAGCAUCUAAGCACGAAACUUGCCCCGAGAUGAGUUCUCCCUGACUCCUUGAGAGUCCUGAAGGAACGUUGAAGACGACGACGUUGAUAGGCCGGGUGUGUAAGCGCAGCGAUGCGUUGAGCUAACCGGUACUAAUGAACCGUGAGGCUUAACCUU
rnacentral:rRNA from 1 species